AGAGCGAACGCUGGCGGCAUGCUUAACACAUGCAAGUCGCACGGGCAUUUCGGUGUCAGUGGCGGACGGGUGAGUAACGCGUAGGUAUCUAUCCUUGGGUGGGGGAUAACGGUUGGAAACGACUGCUAAUACCGCAUGAUAACUGAGGUUUAAAGGCGCAAGUCGCCUGGGGAGGAGCCUGCGUACGAUUAGCUUGUUGGUGGGGUAAAGGCCUACCAAGGCGACGAUCGUUAGCUGGUCUGAGAGGAUGAUCAGCCACAUUGGGACUGAGACACGGCCCAAACUCCUACGGGAGGCAGCAGUGGGGAAUAUUGGACAAUGGGCGAAAGCCUGAUCCAGCAAUGCCGCGUGUGUGAAGAAGGUCUUCGGAUUGUAAAGCACUUUCGACAGGGACGAUGAUGACGGUACCUGUAGAAGAAGCCCCGGCUAACUUCGUGCCAGCAGCCGC
rnacentral:rRNA from 1 species